CGCCAUUUUACAACUAAGAGGAUAUGACUUGGUGACGUUGUUCUUAAUUUCACCAAAAAAAGAUGUGGUUGAACUACUAAGAUGCAUUAAAGAUGUUUCAAGACUCAAGGUCAGAUCUGCACAUCAAGCUUGCAAGAAGAAGAUUGGAAUCAGGAAUCCUGAGAAGAUGACACUCUGAGAUGUGCAGGAAGAUGUGUGGGGAGGCAGCCCACCAGCAAGGCCUCACCUGAAAUGGCUGCUGAAGAGACACGAGUACAUAAAGUGCCAUAGAAGCUUUACUGUAGUGAAAUAUUUGCCAUCAUCCUGCAAUACACACAUGGUCUUAAAGAGACAAGACAAGCACAUAAGAAAAUGAAAUGAUGGAAAACCUCUUCAGUUGUUUGUGUUCUGCUCAGAUGUUGCCUUAGCGACAAGGGAUGCUCAGUACUUUGAUAGCAUCUUCAAGGUUAUUGGUUCCCGAGUUCAUGACAAACCUGGCAAUGGCUUGCCUCCACACUGGGAGAGAUUGAAAGAGAACAAGUGAGGUGAGGGCGACUCCAGGAAUGCAUCCCCAUUACAGUUUGAGCACGAGGCGGCCAUGGAUGCAAGUCUAUGUCAGACCACCACAAUGCACUCUCAAAACUCAAUGCAUGCAUCAAGGACAUUCACCAAUGGGCCACUGCAAACAAGAUGAUGCUAAACGCCGCAAAAACAGGACGCAAGUCUAUGUCAGACCACGACACUGCUCUUAUGAAACUCAAUGGAUGCACCAAGGGCUAUAUCAUCAAUGGACGACUACAAACAAGAUUCAUGCUUAAUGCAGCAAAACAGAAGAUCUUCAUUUAACAUCAAGAUUUUUGCAACAGCCACUCCCAGUCAUUUCCAUCGCAGUUGGUGAUGUGAAAUCACUCAACGAAAGCCAGAAAUCUCUGUGCAGUCAUGGAUGAACAUCUACAGGUAUCACUGAAGGCCCAUGUCACCACCCUAUUAUGCCGCUCUUCAAUGACUGUCAUCCAAAGAUGUUUUAAAUUUAGAAAAUAAUGAUCCGCACAAAUACACCUGGAAAUUGUUUGGUUUUCCUUGGCCGUCUUGAACUAACAUGAUCUGCCAUUUUGUUGAAGCAGUAGUUUGACUCCCCAAAAAUGGCAAACCAUUUUAGUUCACAAAGUAUUUGGAAAACCUCACAGUUUUAAAGUACAUAAUUUAAUUAUCCGUUUACUUUUAAAUGCUAUUCUGUCCAACCUGGUUCAUGUCAUAACAAACUCUUUCAUAGCCCAAAACGCCCAAAAGCAAUAUGUGUCUCUGAAAAGUGUUGAUGAAAUGAAUGAAAUGAUUGAUUGUGAUUGCAAUUAUUGAAGCUUGAGACUCGAAAACAACAAUAAGGUUUUGACAAGUACAAGUACUGAGCCUGACAAUUUAAUGUUGCCUAAUUUCUAAAGGGACACGUCGCUUUUGAGUUGGGUGUUUUGAGCUUUCGAAAAUGCUUGCUAUGAAAUGGAUGAGGUUGGAAAUAUGUUUUAAAAUUAGAAAAUAAUUAUCCACACAAAUAUACCUGGAAAUUGUUUGUUUUUUCUUGUUGCCCUCCUGAACUAUAACACAACCUGCCAUUUGUGUUGAAGCAAACUCAUGACUCCUGAAAAUGGCAUACUAUUUUAGUUCACAGUGUUAUGGAAUUUUGUUAAGUGUUAAUUUUGUAAGUGUUAUGGACUCCACAAAACACAGAGUAAAAGGAAAACCACACAGUUUUGAGGCACCUUAGUGUUGAUAAUUAUACACAAAUCUAAAAGCAAUGU